AGGUCCUGCCUGCCCAGUGACUAUGUUAAACGGCCGCGGUAUUUUGACCGUGCAAAGGUAGCGCAAUCACUUGUCUUUUAAAUGAAGACCUGUAUGAAUGGUGGAACGAGGGCCUAACUGUCUCCCCUUUCAAGUCAAUGAAAUUGAUCUAUCCGUGCAGAAGCGGGUAUAUAACUACAAGACGAGAAGACCCUUUGGAGCUUAAGAUUAAAAAUCAACUAUGUCAAAUAUUUAUUAAAUAGAACUAAAUAGUAACUGAUUAUAAUCUUCGGUUGGGGCGACCACGGAAUAAAAAUAAACUUCCACAUGGACUGAGGACUAACCUUAAAACCAAGAAAAACAUUUCUAAGUCACAGAAUUUCUGACCACACAGAUCCGGCAAAUUGCCGAUCAAUGGACCAAGUUACCCUAGGGAUAACAGCGCAAUCCCCUUUCAGAGUUCCUAUCGACAAGGGGGUUUACGACCUCGAUGUUGGAUCAGGAC
rnacentral:rRNA from 1 species